AGAGUUUGAUCAUGGCUCAGGACGAACGCUGGCGGCGUGCUUAACACAUGCAAGUCGAGCGGAAAGGCUCCUUCGGGGGGUACUCGAGCGGCGAACGGGUGAGUAACACGUGAGUAAUCUGCCCUUGGCUUUGGGAUAAGCCCCGGAAACGGGGUCUAAUACCGGAUACGACGCACUCUCGCAUGGGAUGUGUGUGGAAAGUUUUUUCGGCCAGGGAUGUGCUCGCGGCCUAUCAGCUUGUUGGUGGGGUAAUGGCCUACCAAGGCUUCGACGGGUAGCCGGCCUGAGAGGGUGACCGGCCACACUGGGACUGAGACACGGCCCAGACUCCUACGGGAGGCAGCAGUGGUGAAUAUUGGACAAUGGGCGGAAGCCUGAUCCAGCAACGCCGCGUGAGGGAUGACGGCCUUCGGGUUGUAAACCUCUUUCAGUACCGACGAAGCGCCGAUGAUGGUGGUGACGGUAGGUACAGAAGAAGCACCGGCCAACUACGUG
rnacentral:rRNA from 1 species